CGUUCCCGGGCUUUGUACACACCGCCCGUCACGCCAUGGAAGCCGGGGGGACCCGAAGCCAGUGGCCUAACCUUCGGGAGGGAGCUGCCUAAGGUCAAUCCGGUGACUGGGGCG
rnacentral:rRNA from 1 species